GCUGGGGCUCAGUGGUACAGCGCUUGCCUAAUGUGUGUGAGGCCCUGGGUUUGAGUCUCAGCACCGCA
rnacentral:tRNA from 1 species